UCAAAGCUGCCAGCCCUCUCCCUCUCCUUGGCAGCAUCAGCCGCCCCUCUCCUCUCCAAUUUUCCAGCGAACAGAGCCGUCGUCCCUCUCUCCAGCCGCCACCCCACUCUUCUCCCUCUCUCCAUCUUUCUACCUUUCCCGUCUCCUCGCCCUUCUACUUAGUUUCCCCCUCCUCUCUUCAUUUUUCCCUUCUCCUUCCCUUCCCGUUCUUUCUCUCCAUAUUUUUGCAGGCGAGAGAAGAGGACGACUCUGAGAAGACCACCGGAAGCAGCAGCAGUCAGCGACCAGCAGCCCUGCAAAGCCAGCUUUGAAUUGGAUCUGCAGCUCCAGCGAUACCAGCGCCGCCAGCAACAGCCAACAGUCACCGGCGAGAACCCCUGCGCCAGCCAGCAGCCCCGGCGGCCUUCUGUCUCUCCUCUCUUCUCUAUUUCCUUCUCUCCUCUUGUCAAGCGAGCAACAACCCCCUCAGCAACAGCAACCAGCAGCCGGCGCCGCCAUCCUCCAGUGGAACUCCGGCCAGUAGUCUUUGGUAACGUGUAUUAGCCCAUUAUUUUAGCCGCAAAAACAGAUCAGUCCAGGUAAUAUUUCCGUAUUUCGCUUCCUUUAUCAUUUUUAUUCCUUGUCUACUUCUGUGAUCUCACAUAUUUUUUUUAUUAUUAUUAUUUUUAACUUUGUUGUUCAUGUUCUAGAAAUUCUGCUUGGUUAUGAUUCGUUAUGAAUUGAAUUGAGUUCUAAUAUGAUUAGAUUGCUUAUAAUGAUCUUUCAAUGAUAAAUACUCAUUUCAAUCUAAAUCAGCUCCAAAUUUUCUUGGUUCUUCCUAUUAACUCAGUAUAUGUUUCACUGAUUUUAGUUGUUGAAUAUCUUGGAUAUAGAGUAGAUUAGUCAUUAAGUCUCUGUGUAAUUGAUUGUGCACCUUAGCAAUUUUAGAGUAAGUAGUACAUUUAUUCUGAUUUAAUAAUUGAUUUCUUGAUUACGGAACUAAUUAUGAUAAGAUUAUGUGAUUUUUGUAAAAAAUAUGUGAAAGGGAUUAACUCUAAUUAUGAGAUUUUUACGUGUUUCCAUCAUGGUAAGUAUAAAUCCCUAAUCUGCAUGACAAUAUGCCUAUCCUUAUAUCAUUUUACAUCGCAUAAAUUGGUCUUCUUAAUUGUUUACUUGCUUAUCUUAAAUAAAUAAAAAUAGAUUCGUACUAGCUUUAUUUUGGUAAAAUUAUUGAUGAUUUAUGUUAAUGUAUUGUUUUUGUAAUAUUUUUAUCUAAAGAAAAUUAAUCCCUCCUCCCAUUGAUAUUUGGAUUGAUUAAUUCUUACUGGUUUGUUUAUGACAACCUUAUUAUUUCCUUGUCAUAUUUAGUCGCUCAUAUUUUGGUAAAAUAAAUUAAAUCUGAUUUUAAUUUUUUUUUUAUUUUAAGGAAAAUAUUUUUUAUUCCAAAUUUUUAUUCUUACUUGUUUAUAUUUGGUAAUGAAAUAUAUUAACAUAUUUUCUGAUUUGGAUAUCCUUUGAAAUAAGGAAAAUUGUAUUAUGAUUGAUUCCUUGAAAUAUUUAUUUCCCUUAUUUGUUCCCCCCUCCUCUACUAUAUAAAGAGACUUCUUUUAUUCAUUCACACUCAUUCACUCUCAACCAAAAAUUCUCUCAUCACUCUCCCUUCUCUCAUUGCUCUCUUGUUACUUUAACAACACAUUAAUAUUCCGAUAAAUAUUCAAGUGUUCUUCGCUAUUUUGCUACUUUCGAGUAAAAGGUGAAUCAAUUUGUUUUGCUUAACCGGUAUUUGAUUACUUUGACAGGUUUCAAACUUGAAGUUCAAGUUGAAGAUUAAUUGAAGAAAGAUUUAUUUGUUUAUUUGAAUGUAUAUAUAUAUAUAUAUAUAUUUUAUUUUAUGCCUAUUUUAUUUAUUCGAAUGUUGUAACAAUUGUAACUCUAAAAGAUCAUAUAUAUAUAAAAUUAUUUGGGGGAUCGUCUAGGGGAGGGGGAGUUAUAUGCUUACUUGUUCAUUAUAAAUUUUUUAGAAAUCAUGCCUAGAUUUUUCUUUAACCACCUAGAUUUGAUAUUUGUAGGUGUUAUAAUCUAAUCAAUUUUCAAUUUGCUUGACGUUUUUGUUAACAAGUCUUAAAAAAUAAGAACUAGAGUCCAUUAAUUUUUUAAAUGUUAAAAUCAAAUCCUAAUAAAUCUAGUAGGUUGUUAGAUGUUAAAAAUAUAUUAUAAAUUCUCAUUUGUCUUAUCACAUAGAAACUAUGCCUUAGUAUUAAAUUGUUCAUAUCAUUUACAAAAUCAUGCAUAUAUGUGUUAUUCCUUCUUUUAAACACCUAGAAAUUCAUGUCUAUAGGCUUGAAAUAACUUUUAACAUAUCCGUAAAAAUAAAAUUUAUUUGUGCAUAUUUGUGUCCUUCCCCAUAAAGUGGUCAAUAUUAAUUCUAUUUGUCUUCCUCAUUCAUGAUGCAAUAUGUUUUUUUUAAUAAUACUAAUUUAGAAUCAUUUCAUGCAUUUAACUUGGCUUUAAAAAUAUUUCAUAUCAAAACCUUGUAACAUAAUUUUCUUAAAAAGUCAUUAUUUAAACUUUGGAUUGAUUUUGACAUUGUUUAUUUUGAAAGUAAAUUAUAAGUAUUAUCUCCUAACCUAUCGUUAGUGGGAAAGUCAAAGGAACUAUGAGGUCUAGUUCCAAUUUUUUAAACCUGACGCAUCCUCGGAAGUACCGCCUACCCAUGAAUUUCAAAAAAAGAAUUAUGUGCAUUUAUAUGUAAAAGUUUAUGUGUCUACGUGUGAACUAAAUCUAUUAAAUCAUUUUUCAAAACAUAACUAUUUUUAGACGGACCUCAAAUCAAAAUUGUUUCUAUGGUGGGGGAGCGCGAUCAAUAAUAUCGUGGCAUCAUCCCUAUAAAGAAACAAACAUUUUUUUUAUAAAAAUUCCUAUUCAAAACUUAUCAAUUUUCAAACUUUUUUUUCAUAUUAAUUGCUUAAUAUUUGCCAAUUUUGUUUAUAACAUAGUGUCGUAUGUCAAAAUAAAUAAAAUGAGCCUAAUUGUUUAUUUAUUGUCAUCACCUAGCUUUACAUAUCUAAAUAAAUAAGAAUAAUAAUCUUAAUUGUUUCGUAUUUGUUAUCACUUAGUAAGAUUAAAUAAAUUAAUAAACGACCUUGAUUGCUACUCGUACCCCCACAUAGAUUUCACGAGAUACGGCC
rnacentral:lncRNA from 1 species